rnacentral:rRNA from 1 species
AUGCCGCCCUUCCUAAUUGUUUUCACCCUGCUCUCCUGCAUCCACACCCCAGCAAACUCUGCAGCGACGGACACCAUCUUGGCCGGCCAAUCACUUGCCGUCGACGACAAGCUCAUCUCCGGCAACGGCAGGUACGCGCUCGGCUUCUUCCAGGCCGAAGGCACCACCAACUGGUACCUUGGCAUAUGGUUCAACACAGUCCCUAAAUUCACUCCAGCAUGGGUUGGAAAUAGGGAUAACCCAGUCAAGAACACCACCUCACUUGAGCUCACCAUUUCCCACGAUGGCAACCUUGUCAUCUUAAACCGGUCCACCAUGUCCAUAAUCUGGUCCACACAAGCAAACAUCUCCAGAAAUAGCACCACUGCUAGGCUGCUGAGUACUGGAAAUCUCGUACUCGCAGACUCUUCAAACUUGUCAGAGUUUCUAUGGCAGAGCUUUGAUCACCCCACGGAUACAUUUUUUCCUGGGGCCAAGCAUGGAUGGGAUAAGGCCACCGGCCUGAAUCGCCGUUUUGUUUCUUGGAAAAGCUUGACUGACCCAGCUACCGGUGUCUAUUAUUAUGAAGUAGACCCGGCCGCUGUUGACCAGAUAGUGCUUGUAGCACUCAACUCAUCCAUACCCUAUUGGUCCAGCGGUGCAUGGAACGGCAAAUAUUUUUCUGGAAUUCCAGAGAUGGCUGCCCGCCACUCUAUUAGUGCAAAUUUUGUCCACAAUGACAGAGAGAAGUACUGGACAUAUAAAUUAGUGCCUCAAUAUAUGGAUCCCAAUAUGCUUACUCGUAAUGUAAUUGACAUCUCGGGUCAAAUGAAGACAUUCAUUUGGAUGAAGGGCACACCUGAUUGGGUAAUGAUAAAUGCCCAACCAAGAGAUCAGUGUGACGUUGAUGCAAUUUGUGGACCUUUCACAAUUUGCAACGAUAAUGAUUUUCCGCACUGCAAUUGUAUGGAGGGCUUCACCAUAACAUCCCCCAAGGAUUGGGACCUAGAAGAUCGAGCAGGUGGGUGCUCAAGGAAGACUAAGUUAGACUGCAUUAGCCAUAGAGGAACAACACAUACCACAGACAAGUUCUAUUCUAUGCCAUGUGUUAAGUUGCCCAACGAUGCCCCAGAAGUAGAUGCUGCUGCAAGUGCGAGUGAGUGCGCACAAGUUUGCCUGAAUAAUUGCUCUUGCACAGCCUACUCCUUUGGCGACAAUGGAUGUUCUAUGUGGCAUAACAAAUUGCUCAAUAUAAGAGCACUACCAUGUAGUGGCACUACCAAUUCAAACAGAGAAACUCUUUACCUUCGUCUUUCUGCUAAAGAUGUACAAAGUUUGAAAAAAAAACAGAAGAGGGAUUGUUAUUGGAAUUGUAACUGGUACAGGCGUUUCUAUUUUAGGCUUAUUUGCACUUAUCCUCUUACUGAUGAUCUGGAAGAACAAACAGAAGAACUCUGGUCAGAUACUGAAUGA